rnacentral:rRNA from 1 species
GACGAACGCUGGCGGCGUGCCUAAUACAUGCAAGUCGAACGAGAGCGACCGGUGCUUGCACUGGUCAAUCUAGUGGCGAACGGGUGAGUAACACGUGGGUAACCUGCCCAUCAGAGGGGGAUAACAUCCGGAAACGGAUGCUAAAACCGCAUAGGUCUUCGAGCCGCAUGGCUUGAAGAGGAAAAGAGGCGCAAGCUUCUGCUGAUGGAUGGACCCGCGGUGCAUUAGCUAGUUGGUGAGGUAACGGCUCACCAAGGCCGUGAUGCAUAGCCGACCUGAGAGGGUGAUCGGCCACAUUGGGACUGAGACACGGCCCAAACUCCUACGGGAGGCAGCAGUAGGGAAUCUUCCGCAAUGACGCAAGUCUGACGGAGCAACGCCGCGUGAGUGAAGAAGGUUUUCGGAUCGUAAAACUCUGUUGUUAGAGAAGAACAAGUGCUAGAGUAACUGUUAGCGCCUUGACGGUAUCUAACCAGAAAGCCACGGCUAACUACGUG